AGAACCUUUCCCGGGUCUUGACAUUCCUUUGACCACUCUAGAGAUAGAGCUUUCCCUUCGGGGACAAAGUGACAGGUGGUGCAUGGUUGUCGUCAGCUCGUGUCGUGAGAUGUUGGGUUAAGUCCCGCAACGAGCGCAACCCUUAUUGUUAGUUGCCAUCAUUUAGUUGGGCACUCUAGCGAGACUGCCGGUGACAAACCGGAGGAAGGUGGGGAUGACGUCAAAUCAUCAUGCCCCUUAUGACCUGGGCUACACACGUGCUACAAUGGGAAGUACAACGAGUCGCUAGACCGCGAGGUCAUGCAAAUCUCUUAAAGCUUCUCUCAGUUCGGAUUGCAGGCUGCAACUCGCCUGCAUGAAGCCGGAAUCGCUAGUAAUCGCGGAUCAGCACGCCGCGGUGAAUACGUUCCCGGGCCUUGUACACACCGCCCGUCACACCACGAGAGUUUGUAACACCCGAGAGAUCGGUGAGGUAACCUUUUUGGAGCCAGC
rnacentral:rRNA from 1 species